rnacentral:rRNA from 1 species
UUGCUCGGAAUCACUGGGCGUAAAGGGUGCGUAGGCGGGUCUUUAAGUCCGGGGGGAAAUCCUGGAGCUCAACUCCAGAACUGCCUUUGAUACUGAGGAUCUUGAGUCCGGGAGAGGUGAGUGGAACUGCGAGUGUAGAGGUGAAAUUCGUAGAUAUUCGCAAGAACACCAGUGGCGAAGGCGGCUCACUGGCCCGGUACUGACGCUGAGGCACGAAAGCGUGGGGAGCAAACAGG